rnacentral:lncRNA from 1 species
AUGCAUUUCCAUUUUGAUUAUAUGCUCGGGAAGGCAUGUGGCAGCACAUCCCUGGCCUCAGAUAACAGGGGCAGCACAGCUCGUGAGGAGGAGCGCUUGGCGGCAAAGCAUUGGCAGGGCAGAGGGACAGCGGUGAGGGCUGCUCCCAGCCCCAAGCCCUCACCAACCAGCCCUGAGUCAUGCUCUGACAAAUGUCAAGACCUCUUUCUCACGUUGCCAUCUCAUUUCGGCACCAAGGGUGGUCAGAAAAUGAAGCUAGAGCUGCAAGGGCUGGCAGAAGGCACCGUGGUGGUGAGCUUGAUGCUUCUCCAGGGCCCUGCCCGAGGCGCUCGCAGAGCGAUGCUCGCUGGCCAGCUGGCUGCCCACAGCCAGAGAGUUUCCCAGAAAUGGAGACCUCAGUGCUCCCCGCAGCAGCCUCCCCACCAUACUUGUGCUGAGGCAGUCGCAUCUUCUCAGUGCUGUGGUCGGGAGGCAUGCGUGGGCUCGUGCGGGUCGGUGACACAUGGAAACGUGCUGCUGCGAACCUCGGAGCUGCUGCUGUUCCUCAUGAUGCCCAUCUCGGCGAGGGAGCUCUGCAGAUCACAGAAGCUCAGCAGUCCUUCCUGUCCCAGCCUCAUCGAUCCGAUGCAGCGGCUAUGGAAGAAGAGCAGGGAGGCACAGGAGAGCCUGCACAUCGCAGCAAAACUCUGGUUACCUGGUACAGAUCAGCCCCUCCUUGCUUCUGGCAAGCAGAUUUGUUGCUAUUUUGCAAACCAAACAGCAGGUCCAGCCCCUGGGGAGCUGCUGCUGGAUCACACAGCAGGUUGUCCCCGAGCCCAGCAUACCCUCCUUGCUGACCCACUGCCUCCACUGCUUGUCUGCAUCAUGGGGAAAAAGGAGACAGGACUAAAGCUUCCCCCCUACCAGUUUCCUUCAUGGCCCCUAAGGCUCACAGUCUGCUUUCUGCAAGCAGACAGGUUGUGAUUUCCUGCUAUUCUCAUGGGAACCAGGGCCUAAAGGGAAUACACCAGCUGGCGAGUGCCCAGCCCGUGGCACUUUUGUCCCCACGAGGUCUCCAGCAGCUUCAGCUCAGUGGCGGUGACUGCAAUGCACCCAGGUGGGCUUUGCAGGUCUCUUUCCUCCGCAGUGCAGUCAGCGGGGUGCAGAGCAAGUGGACAGGAUGGGGGUGGCCUGGCAGGUGGUGGGGAGAGGCACACGAGCCCCAGCUCAGCACCCCCAGGCAUGCUUUCUUUGGAUAAACUCAGUGCUGUGUGGGUCAGCCCCUUCCCUCCACCCUGCCCUGCAGCACCUGCCUGUUUGGAUGCUGGUUGGAUGCAGGUCACUUUACAGAGGUGCCAGCCAGAUGCCUUAAGACUGAGGGAAAGCCAAGACAAAGCCAAAAUAAUGCAGCUGGCUGCUUUAAUUUGCAGGAAGAGCCAGGCAGCAGCAGACUGGUUCACGGGCGAAUCUUUCCUGCUGUAUCAAGCAUAAAUUAAUCAGGUAUUCCAUUUCCUGAGGGAAGAAAAAAAAGAGCAGAAUAAUUCACUUAGAAAUAAAGACUAGAGCCAUUUUUCCCUUUGACA